rnacentral:lncRNA from 1 species
AGUGCGGGGGGGUAGGAAAACCCGAGAGGACAGAAAGAGGUGUGUGCGUGGAGUGUGCGUGGGUGGAGGCGUGGAGGGGGUCGUUAAUAGGAGGCGACGUAUUUUCCCGAAGCCCACGGUGACGAGGGUCUGUGUGUGGAGUGAGGUGCAGGAUAAGAGGUUAACCGUCCUAGGUAGGCAACAGUGUGGAGGAGACGGGAUGAGGUAGAAGGAUAGGGGGGUGGUAAGUAGGGGAUGGUAGAAGAGGGAAGGGGAGCUGGAAGGUACAGUAGAGGGGACCAGGAAUCAGGAUUUGAGGGGUUUCGGAUGAGAGAAGAGGAGUAAUAUGAACAGUGUAGGAGUUAGUAAGUUAGGGAAAAAGGGGGGGGGGGGGGGGGAGAGGGGGUGCGAACAGUGUAGAGCACUUGGGAUUAGCAUGGUGUAAGGGUAGAUGGGAGCGUGCGGUUUGGGAUGGGCGAUUUGGAGCCCGUUGGUGGGGGUGGUUUGAGCCGCCAAUGUUGGUGGCGUGAGGAGGUGGUAUGUGUGUGUGUGUGGCCUUUAUAGGUCGAGAGUUGGAGGAGUGAGUAUGAGUCACCGAUGUUGGUGACGCGAGAUGAUGGUGUUUGUGUGUGUGUGUGGCCUUUCUAGGUCGAGAGUUGGAGGAGUGAGUAUGAGUCGCCGAUGUUGGUGACGUGAGAUGAUGGUGUUUGUGUGUGUGUGUGGCCUAUUUAGGUCGAGAGGUGGAGGAGUGGAUAUGAGUCGCCGAUAUUGG